rnacentral:rRNA from 1 species
UACGUAGGUGGCAAGCGUUGUCCGGAUUUACUGGGCGUAAAGGGCGCGUAGGCGGCCUGCUAAGUCGAACGUGAAAUCCCCGGGCUCAACCCGGGAACUGCGUCCGAUACUGGCAGGCUUGAAUUCGGGAGAGGGAUGCGGAAUUCCAGGUGUAGCGGUGAAAUGCGUAGAUAUCUGGAGGAACACCGGUGGCGAAGGCGGCAUCCUGGACCGAAAUUGACGCUGAGGCGCGAAAGCCAGGGGAGCAAACGGG